rnacentral:miRNA from 1 species
UCUGCAUCUAAGGAUAUGGUCA